rnacentral:misc_RNA from 1 species
AGAAUAUCCAACUGUACGAAAGACAAGUUUCUCAAAGGCAAUAUCCUCGGAAAGCUGUUUCCCAGCACUGUGAACUCCAAAAAUUUGCACUCGUUGCUUUGCAUCUGGUAAACCAAUAUACACACGUCUGUCAAUACGUCCAGGGCGGACAAAUUCUAAGUCCAGUUCAUCUGGCCGAUUGGUUGCACAAAUGAAUAUGACAGCUUGUCUUAGUGAAAACCUAUCAACACCAGUUUUUUCUUUCUCCCCGUCAAGCUGAGAAAUCAGAGCCUCAAAUGUUGCCUUCCUGCGUGGAUCCUUUCUUGCAUGCCUUCCAGCAAUAGCAUCAAUCUCAUCUAUAAAUACAAAAGCUGGAGCAUUUCUCCUAGCAACAGAAAACAUUUCAUUGAUUCGU